UCUUAAGAUGCAUACAGAUUG
rnacentral:siRNA from 1 species